ensembl:snoRNA
CGCCUAAAUAUAAAAAUAAGAACCCGAAGAAACGGCUUCUUUGUUUACAACAUACCCAACAGAAAUCUGGGUUCACUGUGACAAGGGGCAAGACUUGUGGCCUUCCUAUGAAUAAACGGAAAACACAG